rnacentral:rRNA from 1 species
GAUGAACGCUGGCGGCGUGCCUAAUGCAUGCAAGUCGAGCGACGCAUGUUCAGUCCGUAAGGACCGAGCAUGACGGAGCGGCGAACGGGUGAGUAACACGUGAGCAACCUGCCCCACAGACCGGGAUAGCCCAGGGAAACCUGGAUUAAUACCGGAUAUCCUCGGACAACCACAUGGCUGAUCGAGGAAAAGCCUUUGUGCUGUGGGAUGGGCUCGCGGCUUAUCAGCUAGUUGGUGGGGUAACGGCCCACCAAGGCGUCGACGAGUAGCUGGUCUGAGAGGACGAUCAGCCACACUGGAACUGAGACACGGUCCAGACUCCUACGGGAGGCAGCAGCAGGGAAUCUUGCGCAAUGGGCGAAAGCCUGACGCAGCAACGCCGCGUGGGGGAUGAAGGCCUCGGGUUGUAAACCCCUUUCAGGAGGGAAGAAAUUGACGGUACCUCCAAAAGAAGGACCGGCCAACUACGUGCCAGCCGCCGCAGUAAAA